rnacentral:rRNA from 1 species
GACGAACGCUGGCGGCGUGCUUAACACAUGCAAGUCGAACGGAAAGGCCCUGCUUUUGUGGGGUGCUCGAGUGGCGAACGGGUGAGUAACACGUGAGUAACCUGCCCUUGACUUUGGGAUAACUUCAGGAAACUGGGGCUAAUACCGGAUAGGAGCUCCUGCUGCAUGGUGGGGGUUGGAAAGUUUCGGCGGUUGGGGAUGGACUCGCGGCUUAUCAGCUUGUUGGUGGGGUAGUGGCUUACCAAGGCUUUGACGGGUAGCCGGCCUGGGAGGGUGACCGGCCACCUUGGGCCGGGGUAACGGCCAAAACCCCUCGGGGGGGCAGCGGGGGGGAAUUGUCCCAAAGGGGCGGAGCCCUGAUGCAGCAACGCCCGGGGGGGGGUGCCGGCCUUCGGGUUGUAACCCCUUUUCGCUUGUGACGGAGGGUGGGUACCGGUAAUGGUGAAAAAAGCCCCGGCUACUCACGU